UACAGAGGUCCCAAGCGUUGUUCGGAUUCAUUGGGCGUAAAGGGUGCGUAGGCGGCGCGGUAAGUCGGGUGUGAAAUCUCGGGGCUUAACUCCGAAACUGCAUUCGAUACUGCCGUGCUUGAGGACUGGAGAGGAGACUGGAAUUACGGUGUAGCGGUGAAAUGCGCAGAUAUCAGAAGGAACACCGGUGGCGAAGGCGGGUCUCUGGGCCGUAACUGACGCUGAGGAGCGAAAGCAUGGGGAGCGAACAGG
rnacentral:rRNA from 1 species